rnacentral:rRNA from 1 species
UUCGCAAUGCCCGAAAGGGUGACGAAGCGACGCCGCGUGGGUGAGGAAGGCCUUCGGGUUGUAAAGCCCUGUCAGGAGUUAAGAAAUGUAAGUGCGCUAAUACCGCAUUUAUUUGACGAAGGCUCCAAAGGAAGUCACGGCUAACUCUGUGCCAGCAGCCGCGGUAAUACAGAGGUGGCAAGCGUUGUUCGGAAUUAUUGGGCGUAAAGAGCACGUAGGUGGGUUUGUAAGUCAGAUGUGAAAGCCUCCUGUUCAACGGGAGAAUUGCAUCUGAAACUACAGAUCUUGAGUGUAGGAGGGGAGAAUGGAACUUCUGGUGGAGCGGUGAAAUGCGUAGAUAUCAGAAGGAACGCCGGCGGCGAAAGCGAUUCUCUGGCCUAUUACUGACACUCAGUGUGCGAAAGCUAGGGUAGCAAACGGGAUUAGACACCCCGGUAGUCCUAGCCGUAAACGAUGGGCACUAAGUAGAGGGGUUUUAA